rnacentral:rRNA from 1 species
GGGUUGUGAGGUUAAGCGACUAAGCGUACACGGUGGAUGCCCUGGCAGUCAGAGGCGAUGAAGGACGUGCUAAUCUGCGAUAAGCGCCGGUAAGGUGAUAUGAACCGUUAUAACCGGCGAUUUCCGAAUGGGGAAACCCAGUGUGACUCGUCACACUAUCAUUAACUGAAUCCAUAGGUUAAUGAGGCGAACCGGGGGAACUGAAACAUCUAAGUACCCCGAGGAAAAGAAAUCAACCGAGAUUCCCCCAGUAGCGGCGAGCGAACGGGGAGGAGCCCAGAGUCUGAAUCAGCAUGUGUGUUAGUGGAAGCGUCUGGAAAGGCGCGCGAUACAGGGUGACAGCCCCGUACACAAAAGCGCAUGUGCUGUGAGCUCGAUGAGUAGGGCGGGACACGUGGUAUCCUGUCUGAAUAUGGGGGGACCAUCCUCCAAGGCUAAAUACUCCUGACUGACCGAUAGUGAACCAGUACCGUGAGGGAAAGGCGAAAAGAACCCCGGCGAGGGGAGUGAAAAAGAACCUGAAACCGUGUACGUACAAGCAGUGGGAGCCCCACCACUAAGCCAGUGGUGAACUCCACAUACGCAUCCUUUGCUGAGGAUACGGUUAACGGAGCGAAAGCGAUGUUCAACCGCAAAAGAAGCAGAGGGGGCUUAGUGGUGGGGUGACUGCGUACCUUUUGUAUAAUGGGUCAGCGACUUAUAUUCUGUAGCAAGGUUAACCGAAUAGGGGAGCCGGAGGGAAACCGAGUCUUAACCGGGCGUUAAGUUG